GCACUGCUGAGGAGUCCCACAAUAGGACGAAACGGCAGUGCAGUGC
rfam:Schistosoma curassoni strain Dakar, Senegal genome assembly, scaffold: SCTD_scaffold0013000